CACAGUUACUCCCAUAGGCAACUGACAGUUGAAAUUCUUGGAAUAUCAGAAAAUGAAUGAGCUAUAGAAUGGGAGCAAGUGAGGUUGCCUCUGUGAACGCUGGUGGGCUUUUUAAUACUGGCCUGUGGCUCUGCCCUCAGAGCAGGGAAGCUCCUCCUCUUGCUGGUUCCCCUUUCGGAUGUUUCCUCCCCAGCUGAAGAGGCCGGCAGGCAGCCAGGAUGGGACACAGCUCACAGGACCCCCACCUCUGCUGGACCACCAGGCUCCUGGGAGUCAUUAGCCUGCUCUGAAGUGGGAGUCUGGCCAGGCUGGCUGUCCAACCCUGGGCGAGCCAGAAGUCUCAGCUGUGCUCAGCCACUCCAAGGACUCUGUCCCUGCAGGCGGGACAGUUGGAGGAUGAGACUCCAUCAGCUGCUCAGGCCCUGGAGGGACC